rnacentral:rRNA from 1 species
GACGGAGGAUGCAAGCGUUAUCCGGAAUUAUUGGGCGUAAAGCGUCCGCAGGUGGCUGUUCAAGUCUGCUGUCAAAGCGCAGAGCUUAACUCUGUACAGGCGGUGGAAACUGAAGAGCUAGAGUAUGGUAGGGGUAGAGGGAAUUCCCGGUGUAGCGGUGAAAUGCGUAGAUAUCAGGAGGAACACCUGCGGUGUAGACGGCUUACUGGACCAUAACUGACGCUGAGGCACGAAAGCGUGGGGAGCGAACAGG